rnacentral:rRNA from 1 species
CGCCGUAAACGGUGGGCGCUAGUUGUGCGAACCUUCCACGGUUUGUCCGACGCAGCUAACGCAUUAAGCGCCCCGCCUGGGGAGUACGAUCGCAAGAUUAAAACUCAAAGGAAUUGACGGGGCCCCGCACAAGCAGCGGAGCAUGCGGCUUAAUUCGACGCAACGCGAAGAACCUUACCAAGGCUUGACAUAUACAGGAAUAUGGCAGAGAUGUCAUAGCCGCAAGGUCUGUAUACAGGUGGUGCAUGGUUGUCGUCAGCUCGUGUCGUGAGAUGUUGGGUUAAGUCCCGCAACGAGCGCAACCCUCGUUCUGUGUUGCCAGCAUUUAGUUGGGGACUCACAGGAGACUGCCGGGGUUAACUCGGAGGAAGGUGGGGAUGACGUCAAAUCAUCAUGCCCCUUAUGUCUUGGGCUGCACGCAUGCUACAAUGGCUGGUACAAACGGCUGCGAUACCGCAAGGUGGAGCGAAUCCGAUAAAGCCAGUCUCAGUUCGGAUUGGGGUCUGCAACUCGACCCCAUGAAGUCGGAGUUGCUAGUAAUCGUAGAUCAGCAACGCUACGGUGAAUACGUUCCCGGGGCUUGUACACACCGCCCGUCACAUCACGAAAGCCGGUAACACCCAAA